CAAAGAAGAACUGCCAUCGUUUCAGAAUUUUUUUCACCAUCUAAAAAGUGCUUUUUGGCUGAUGGAGAAGUUAAAAAUUUCAACUUUUCUUCAGCCAAAAGUCCGUUUGGCUGAUUAUUUCCCAUUCUAACCUGUCUUCUCCCCCAAAAAAGUUUCUUUUCUCUGAUUCUUUGGAGCUCUAUACCCAUUUUUUUCACAUUUUCACUUUCAAAGUUCUUUCGUCAGGUUCUUUGUUCUUCUUCCGCCGUUGAUGAAAACAGAUGAAAACAGAAGAAUUUAUCUGAAAAUCUGGAAUUCAAGAGAAGUUGAUAAGAGGCGAAGCAUUCGUGCACGAAACCUAUGGUGCAUACAAGACCCUUGAAGAACUUUGGGAUGGUGAAAUCUGAGUAGGUUAGAGUGAUGCAUUUGCUCGGCCAUAUUAUAGAAUGAUGCUGCCACCACUGACCUCCUGCCAUCAAUGAG